CUCCAGCAUCCACCUCUGCGGCUCACAGCGCCACCCAGUGGUCAGACCCGUGGCCCGGCUCCAUGGCUCCCUCGGGCCCCUGGCUGGGCAGAGCCCGGAAUCUAAGGUGCUCUUCCCGUGAGCCCCUCCUCUGGGGCGUUGCUAGGACAUCUGAUCAGAGGCGUUCGGAGGCCCAGCACUGGCCCCAGAUCAGCCCCAACGCCAAGGGAAGGCUGUGCCCCGGGACACCUGAGAUGCAAAGAUGACUGAUGCACACGGUUCACUGACGACCAUCCGACUGUUCCGAGAAAUGGAGAAACCAGAAGGAAGAGCCUGGCCCCACAGGAAGCAGAAGACAGACCUGAUCCUCCAAGAAGCCAGGCUUGAGCUCCGCCAGGGGCCACUCACCCCAUUCAGGAGAAGAGAGAGAUUCGCCCAUCAAGCGGGUGCAGCUGGCCGCUGAGACGCGGCGCCUAGGAGCUGAGUUCCGGGCCCGCAUCGCAUCGCAUCGCAGAGCCGUGGCGCCGUCACAGAAGGUUCUGAAGCGUGGGGGGGAGGACACAGAGAGGAUGUGAACCCUCUGCCCGAGCCCCACCAUCCAGCCUCGCAGAUCCCCCACCUUUCCUCAGCUUGGUAUCUCCCUCCAUUCUUCUCUGGACUGCCCUAUUUUGCAAAGUCAUCAGAAUAUUCUCAUUUAUUUCACAUAUAACCGAGAUAUUAACUAUGUCCACCUUUCAACCCGCCGGGCCUCAGACAGGAUGGUCUGUUUAAUUGAGAGAGCCCCAGAUUCAGGGCCAGGAUUCCAGAACUGGCCUCCAGUCAACACGGAACCUGGAGCAGCAGUCUUUCCUUGCUCUGAGGCUCAGAUCUUUCCUCUAUGAAUGAGAAGUUUGGACUGGAUUGGGGUCUCCCAAACUGGGUCCCGUGGAACACUAUAUCCCAAGAAGAUGGUGAAAUUUGGGCCCAUGGCGGAGGGGGUGGAUUUCAGGGUCAAAUACGGAAAUUCUGACUGUGGCCCCCUCUUUGCAGUUCGAAUGCACAUUAGGGUGCCAAGACCCCUACAAAGAUCCGCAGCGAAGAAAUCUCUUCAAUUUUCUUCAAUUCGUCAUUUCCAAACGUUAUUGAUCACAGAACAUUCUCAUCCCUUUUUUUUGGAAAAUCAAUUAAGAUCUUCAGGAAUAUAAUCUUUGAUAAAUUAGUUGGGGAAAUUA